UACAGAGGGUGCGAGCGUUGUCCGGAUUUAUUGGGCGUAAAGAGCGUGUAGGCGGUUUGGUAGGUCCGCUGUGAAAACUCGAGGCUCAACCUCGAGACGCCGGUGGAAACCAUCAGGCUAGAGUCCGGAAGAGGAGAGUGGAAUUCCUGGUGUAGCGGUGAAAUGCGCAGAUAUCAGGAAGAACACCCGUGGCUAAGGCGGCUCUCUAGUACGGUACUGACGCUGAGACGCGAAAGCGUGGGGAGCGAACAGG
rnacentral:rRNA from 1 species